rnacentral:misc_RNA from 1 species
CGUGACUGAUACCCAUUUAGCACACUCUGAUCUCUUGGAUUUCUUUUUAAAUUAUUUUUCCAUUUGGGAAAAUUCUUUUUUUUUUUUCCUUUUGAUUUUCUUGGACAAAUUAAUGAGCUCUGUGAUUAUAUGCCCAGACUUAGGGGCGUAUACGCUAUUCUGAUUAAAACGUAAGCAGAUAUCUGAAGAAAAUGAGAGCUAUUUUCAUUGUAUUUACAUUUUUUGGGGGGUC